GCCGAAGUGGUGGAAUUGGCAGACGCGCUCGACUCAAAAUCGAGUGUCCUACGGACAUGUGGGUUCGAGUCCCACCUUCGGCACCA
rnacentral:tRNA from 1 species